ensembl:lncRNA
CGAAGAGAAAACACGUGUUUUCCACAUAAAUGGAGGAUUUGCGAAGAAAAAACGCGUGAUUUUCAGGUUAAAUGGAAGAUUCCUGAAGAGAAAACGCGUGAUUUUCAAGUUAAAUGGGGGAUUUGCAAAGAGAAAACGUGUGAUUUUCGCUUAAAUGGUGUAUUUGAGAAGAGAAAAUUCGUGAUUUUCGCAUAAAUGUGGGAUUCUCAAAGAGAAAAUGCUUGAUUUUCACUUAAAUUGACGAUUCGCAAAGAGAAAACGCGAGAUUUUCACUUAAAUGGGGGUUUUGCGAAGGGAAAACGUGUGAUUUUCGCUUAAAUGUAGGAUUUCUGAAGAGAAAACUCGUGGUUUUUUGUGUUAAUUGAGGGAUUUGCGAAGAGAAAACGCGUGACUUUCGCUUAAAUGUGGGAUUUGAGAAAACGCGUGAUUUUCGCUUAAAUGUUGGAUUCUCGGAGAGAAAAUGCGUGAUUUUCGCUUAAAUGGGGGAUUUCUGAAAAGAAAACGCGUGAUUUUCGGGUUAAAUGGAAGAUUCCUGAAGAGAAAAUGCGUGUUUUUUGCUUAAACGGCGGAUUUGUGAAGAGAAAAUGCGUGUUUUUUGCUUAAAUGGGGGAUUUGCGAAGAGAAAACGCGUGAUUUUCGGGUUAAAUGGAAGAUUCCUGAAGAGAAAACGCGUGAUUUUCAAGUUAAAUGGGGGAUUUGCAAAGAGAAAACGUGUGAUUUUUGCUUAAAUGGUGUAUUUGAGAAGAGAAAAUUUGUGAUUUUCGCAUAAAUGGGGGAUUCUCAAAGAGAAAACGCUUGAUUUUCACUUAAAAUGACGAUUCUCAAAGAGAAAACGUGAGAUUUUCACUUAAAUGGGGGUUUUGCGAAGGGAAAACGUGUGAUUUUCGCUUAAAUGGGGGAUUUCUGAAGAGAAAACUCGUGUUUUUUUGUGUUAAUUGGGGGAUUUGCGAAGGGAAAACGCGUGAUUUUCGGGUUAAAUGGGGGAUUUUCGAAGAGAAAACGCGUGUUUUUCUGGUAAAAUGGGGGAUUUGCGAAGAGAAAAUGCUUGGUUUUCUGGUUAAAUGGGGGAUUUGCGAAGAGAAAACGCGUGACUUUCGCUUAAAUGUGGGAUUUGAGAAAACGCGUGAUUUUCGCUUAAUGUUGGAUUCUCGGAGAGAAAACGCGUGAUUUUCGCUUAAAUGGGGGAUUUCCGAAGAGAAAACGCGUGAUUUUCUGGUUAAAUGGAAGAUUCCUGAAGAGAAAACGCGUGAUUUUCAAGUUAAAUGGGGGAUUUGCAAAGAGAAAACGUGUGAUUUUUGCUUAAAUGGUGUAUUUGAGAAGAGAAAAUUUGUGAUUUUCGCAUAAAUGGGGGAUUCUCAAAGAGAAAACGCUUGAUUUUCACUUAAAUUGACGAUUCGCAAAGAGAAAACGCGAGAUUUCCACUUAAAUGGGGGUUUUGCGAAGGGAAAAUGUGUGAUUUUCGCUUAAAUGGGGGAUUUCUGAAGAGAAAACUCAUGGUUUUUUGUGUUAAUUGGGGCAUUUGCGAAGAGAAAACGCGUGACUUUCGCUUAAAUGUGGGAUUUGAGAAAACACAUGAUUUUCACUUAAAUGUUGGAUUCUCGAAGUGAAAACGCGUGAUUUUCGCUUAAG